rnacentral:rRNA from 1 species
UACGUAGGGGGCGAGCGUUGUUCGGAUUUACUGGGCGUAAAGGGCGCGCAGGCGGUCUUGAAAGUCAGGCGUGAAAGCCCCGGGCUUAACCUGGGAAUUGCGCUUGAUACUCUGAGACUGGAGUACGGGAGAGGAGAGUGGAAUUCCCAGUGUAGAGGUGAAAUUCGUAGAUAUUGGGAAGAACACCAGUGGCGAAGGCGGCUCUCUGGACCGUAACUGACGCUGAGGCGCGAAAGCGUGGGGAGCAAACAGG